CCGCUAAUGGCUCAGAUGGAGAUGGAACGCAUCUCCCUCCAGAAUGGAUCUGCUCCGCCCGUGUUCGAGCUUACUUUGUAAUCUGGCUCAGAUUUAUCUAAUCUUUUCCCUCCCCCCUUCUCUUGGCAGACGGUCCCAGACCCGCCCUCCCAGCCAGCACCCGGGACGGCGCUAGCCUCAUUCCCUCUCCGUGGCUGCUUGGGGCUGCGGACGCCCCAUCACCGAGAUCGCCCGAGUAGCCUUAGCGACAGCUGAGAUAAAUGUGGGCUUGGGGAGCAGAAGCCCCUGCAGAAGUCAGCAGGGGCCAUAAAGGAGCAGAUUCCUCCCCCCCUCCCAAAAGCCACACACCGCCGCAUGCAGGCCAAGCCUCCGGUGAUUUGUUACCUGCUUAUCUCCAGCCUGCCAGUCAACCCCGGCUGUCCUGAGCCGGGGAGGAACAAUGCAGAAGGGCAGCGCCAGAAAAAUGUUUGCCCGGGGAUUACCAGACAUCGCAGAGCAGACGGCAAGGGCUUCAGGAAGCCCAGAACUUCCUAAGGAAACAACCCCCAAAAGAUGUCUGGACAGCGUCUACCCCUUCUGCCAUGACGGUGGCCCUCCCUGUGCGACCCAUCUCUUGUGGAUGGCCAUACUCCAUCCGCAGGAUGAAAAAGUGGUUGUCGAUUUUCAUCAGAUGAUUUCAGCAUCUCUAUGACUUACGUUCGAUUUGGUGCAUCUUGAUAUUAACCUUUUGUUCUUGGUAUAUGUCAUGC
rnacentral:lncRNA from 1 species